CUGCUGCCUCCCGUAGGAGUUUGGGCCGUGUCUCAGUCCCAAUGUGGCCGUUCACCCUCUCAGGCCGGCUACUGAUCGUUGCCUUGGUAGGCCAUUACCCCACCAACUAGCUAAUCAGACGCGGAACCAUCGUAUACCGCCAGAGUUUUUCACACCGCUUCAUGCGAAGCUGUGCGCUUAUGCGGUAUUAGCACCUAUUUCUAAGUGUUAUCCCCCAGUAUACGGCAGGUUUUCCACGCGUUACUCACCCGUCCGCCA
rnacentral:rRNA from 1 species